UGGGGAAUUUUGGACAAUGGGCGAAAGCCUGAUCCAGCCAUUCCGCGUGCAGGACGAAGGCCUUCGGGUUGUAAACUGCUUUUGUACGGAACGAAAAGGUUUCAGCUAAUACCUGGGACUCAUGACGGUACCGUAAGAAUAAGCACCGGCUAACUACGUGCCAGCAGCCGCGGUAAUACGUAGGGUGCGAGCGUUAAUCGGAAUUACUGGGCGUAAAGCGUGCGCAGGCGGUCUUGUAAGACAGAUGUGAAAUCCCCGGGCUCAACCUGGGAACUGCAUUUGUGACUGCAAGGCUAGAGUGCGGCAGAGGGGGAUGGAAUUCCGCGUGUAGCAGUGAAAUGCGUAGAUAUGCGGAGGAACACCGAUGGCGAAGGCAAUCCCCUGGGCCUGCACUGACGCUCAUACACGAAAGCGUGGGGAGCAAACAGGAUUAGAUACCCUGGUAGUCCACGCCCUAAACGAUGUCAACUGGUUGUUGGGUCUUCACUGACUCAGUAACGAAGCUAACGCGUGAAGUUGACCGCCUGGGGAGUACGGCCGCAAGGUUG
rnacentral:rRNA from 1 species